GUCUUCAUAGGUCCACACACGUCAGUGUGGAUGAGCUGAAGCUUUUGGCUGGCUCUCCAUGCUUGCCCUUUAGGAAAUGGUGGCCUGGAUUGCUUGCCAAGUUGACAUGUUUCACACAAUUGAAUCUCACCAUUCAAUGUAGGCAAUGCUUCAACCAUUUCCUUUUGUUUCAGAAUUGACAAGCCCUUUUGAUUGAAAUGGCCAAAUCUUUUAUGCCAAAGAUUUGAAAUAUCCUGAGUAGCACUCACAUAUGCAUGAUUAGAUACUUUAUCCCAGUCAACAACAAAGCUUCUGUUUUUCAUCUUUACACAGAACACUUGUUCUCCAGAAGGAUCAAAGAUAGUGCAUUUAUGAUCCUUAAACUGAAGAGAAUAGUUUUUCUCCAUCAUUUGUCCAACACUCAACAAAUUUUGACUGAUUUCAGAAAUUCUCCAUUGCCAACCUUUACUCUGGAUUUGUAAGAUUCAUCAAGGGUUUUGAACAUUCCAGCAUCAUUGCACAAAUGGUGUGUGCAUCCACUAUCGAUAAGCCAAGUAUCAGCUGAAUCAUUUGUUGAGAAACAAGUGACAGCAAAGAAUUGCUCCUCCUGUGUAUCAACUUCAUCCGCAAGUGAGUGCAGGGAGGAAACUUCUUCUGUUUUGAACCUUCACUGGUGCUGCCCCCUUCAUUUUUGCCUUUACUUCUCAGAUUAAGCAACUUCUUUCCUUUUCCAGCUUGUUGUUUUUGCACAUAAAAGGCUCCUUCAGUCAAUCUGUCUUGCCUGAUUGUUCUUCGUUGCUCUUGUGCUUGAAGAGCACUCAUUAGUUCACCUAAUGAGAUUUUACUGAGGUCCUUUGAUUCUUCCAGAGAGGAGAUUUUGGAUUCAAACCUCUCAGGAAGAGUCACAAGAACCUUCUCCACAAUCCUGCUGUCAGGAAAGUCUUCUCCAAGUAAUCUGAUGUUGUUGAUAAUUAGUGAAAUUCUAUCAGAAUACUUGGAGAUUGUUUCAUCUUCUUGCAUGUUAAGUGCCUCAAAAUCUCUCUUCAAAUUCAGCACUUGCAUUUGCCUUGUUCUGUCACUGCCUUGGUAUUCUUCUUUUAGUUUGUUCCAAGCCUCUUUGGCUGAAUUGCAUGCCAUAAUUCUGUAGAAAAUGCUUUCUGCCACAGAAUUCUGGAUGAUUGAUUUUGCUUUGGAUUUCUUUGCCUUUUCCUCACUGCUGAACUUGAUUUGAGCCAUAGUGGGAUUUGUUGGUAAGGGAGCUACUGGUUUGUCUUCGGAAACAAUUUCCCAAAGAUCAUAAGCUUCAAGAAAAGCUUGCAUCUUCACUGACCAAAUGUGGUAGUUUUCGCCAGUGAAUAUAACGGGGGAGUUUAAAAGUAGGUUGUUGGAUGUCAUUUUUGAGAUUUUGAAAAAAGGUGUUUUGGUCCUGUAAGAUCUAAGAGAGCUCUGAUACCACUGUUAAUAAUUAUGUUGCUGUGUUUUGUGCAGGUGAAGGGAUGCACAAUCAAGAGCAACAAUGCUGAGUAUUGAAGAACACGAACUACACACAAGGUGUUUGAUAAAAUGUCUCAGUGAGUAUUUCCUUAACUUCAUGUCUUUAAAUACAUGAGAAAACUUAACAAACUUUCCUAGUUAUCUGCCACUAACUCUGUAGUGGACAAUGUGCUACCACCAACUCUGUAGUGGACAAUGUGCUGCCACUAACUCAGCAACAACUUCAGAAAAACAAGGGAUUUACUUUGACCAAAUCAAAACAGAAAUGAAAGAAAAGAAAAUAGACAAUACUUGAUUGAAUAACAAUUAGACAAACUGAAACACUAGAGUUAAAAUGUCAAUUGUCU